rnacentral:rRNA from 1 species
UAAAACUUUCAACAAUGGAUCUCUUGGUUCCGGCAUCGAUGAAGAACGCAGCGAAAUGCGAUAACUAAUGUGAAUUGCAGAAUUCAGUGAAUCAUCGAGUCUUUGAACGCACAUUGCGCCCCCUGGUAUUCCGGGGGGCAUGCCUGUCCGAGCGUC